AUACCUGCAGCUUCUAAGUGGUGAUUCAUUUUUAUUUAUUUGGGCCUAAAACGUCCGUAGCCGGUUUAGUAAAUGCCUGGGUAAAUCGUGUAGCUUAACUAUACGACUUCCGGGUAGACUGCUAAACUUGAGACCGGGAGAGGCUAGAGGUACUCCUGGGGUAGAGGUGAAAUUCUGUAAUCCUAGGGGGACCACCAGUGGCGAAGGCGUCUAGCUAGAACGGGUCUGACGGUGAGGGACGAAGCCCUGGGGCGCAAACCGGAUUAGAUACCCGGGUAGUCCAGGGUGUAAACGCUGCUUGCUUGAUGUUAGUUGGGCUCCGAGCCCAACUAGUGUCGGAGAGAAGUUGUUAAGCAAGCUGCCUGGGAAGUACGGUC
rnacentral:rRNA from 1 species